rnacentral:lncRNA from 1 species
AUGGCAACAUGCAUAAUUCUUCUAUCAUAUGCAAUAUAUGUCAUCAUGUAUAUGUUUCUAUUUAACAUAAUCCACAAUAUGUUAACUCACAAUAUGUCAUCAUGCACAUAUAUUACUAGCAUCACAUAAUAUGUCAAUAUACAUAUAAUCAUCAUCCAAAGUAGUAUAUACUUAGCAUCUCAUGCACUCUUUUAGCAUUUAAUUCAUUAUGCAUUACUACUAGCAUGUUCUCUACUUUACGUUAACAUGCAAAUGCCAUUUACCUCAUGCAUUUAACUGGCAUCAUUUAUAUCACAUCAUCAUGCAUUCUACUUAGCAUUUUGCAUCAUAUUGUCCACAUGCAUUAGCUAUGUCAUUUUAUUAACAUGCAUCAAUAUGAACUUGUAUGUUUCUUAGACAUAAAGGGCGACCUAGUCGCUUCGGUAAGCACAACCCACCUCGAAUCGCUUUCCGAUUGCUUGUCGACACUUGCAAUCGGCCUCCCGCGGCGCCCGUAACCCGGUUUGGCCCGAUCUCGCGCGCGACCACCCGAACGGCCUCCAAUUCACGAUCUGAAAAUUAAGGGUCUUCGGUUAUGUGCCACGGUGCUUCAAAUCCGUUUUCAUGGGCUUACGAUGUCGCCUCGACCCUCCAGGCGGAAACGAAGCCUAAACGUCCGUUUCUUUAAUAACUUUACAACGGCUCGACGAAUCGCCAAACCGACUUCGCCAACGCGUUCGUUUACCUAGCAAUUAGGUUUGCGAAGGGUCAAAUUAGAUCAAACCCCCAUAUUUUACAAAACCCCAUUCGGAGCCCUAACAUGUAAUUAACAUCUAAAUAAUCCAAAUC